GAAGCCGCGCGGGUUGUGCUGGCCCACAGCCAGGAAGGUGGAGGGGGCAGGAAGACGCUGGGCUGUGGGAAGCAGGGCCAGUAGGUAUAGCACCAGCUGCUGGUCCUGGAGGAACAGAGUGAGGGCAGGAAGAGGCCGCUUCUCGCUGCAGGUCAACAGUCCCCCCAGUGACGGUGGGACAAACACCAGGGUGCGUGGGAUCCGGUCACGGAGAGGUGUGGAGGUAGCUCUUUGGGAGAGGGAGAGAGUGCUGGCCAGAGCUGCAGAGAAGCUGACUUUCUCGUCUGGUCGGGAAUCACCUGGGCGAUCCAUUUCACAAUGCAAUGCAGAGCGAGAUGAACCAGAACCUGCUGUCUGGGAUAGGGGCCAUCCCACCUCCAAGGCGACGUGAGACCUGCACGAGGACCCUGGGGCGCUCUCCUCCUGUGGGCUGUCUGAGCAACACCACGGCCAAGUCCUGGGGUCAUCUACGGCGUUAUUCUUGGCGAACUUGAUGUUUGCGCAUCACCUUUAAUAACUUUAUUACCUGAACCACCCAGCAUUCAUGAAAUGGCAACCGUGACGCACUAGCUGGUGCUGUGACUGUUUAUUCAUUCCACAAACUUUUAUUGAGCACCUACUCUAUAGACCAGGAGUUACACAAGGGUCUGGUGACGUCGUGGUAGGGAACACGGUCCCUGGCCUCAGGAUACCAGAUAGAUAUUGUGAGAUAAUAGAAAAAAUGUGCACUGGAGUCUGCCACCGGCUCCUGGCACGGGGCUCCGGAGCCCUUGUAAUUUCCUUAGUGAUGAGAACAUGAGGAGCAUCUCUUGU